UGCCAGCAGCCACGGUAAGACGGAGGGCGCAAACGUUGUUCGGAAUCACUGGGCAUAAAGAGCACGUAGGCGGCUUGCUAAGUCGGACGUGAAAGCCCUCGGCCCCACCGGGGAACUGCAUCCGAUACUGGCAGGCUCGAGGACGGUAGGGGUAAGUGGAACUCCAGGUGGAACGGUGAAAUGUGUAGAUAUUUGGAGGAACACCGGUGGCGAAAGCGACUUACUGGACCGUCUCUGACGCUGAGGUGCGAAAGCUAGGGUAGCGAACAGGAUUAGAUA
rnacentral:rRNA from 1 species